rnacentral:rRNA from 1 species
GACGAACGCUGGCGGCGUGCCUAAUACAUGCAAGUCGAGCGGACGGAUGGGAGCUUGCUCCCAGACCGUCAGCGGCGGACGGGUGAGUAACACGUGGGCAACCUGCCUGUAAGACUGGGAUAACUCCGGGAAACCGGGGCUAAUACCGGAUAACUCUUUCCCUCACAUGAGGGAAAGCUGAAAGAUGGCAUCUCGCUAUCACUUACAGAUGGGCCCGCGGCGCAUUAGCUAGUUGGUGAGGUAACGGCUCACCAAGGCGACGAUGCGUAGCCGACCUGAGAGGGUGAUCGGCCACACUGGGACUGAGACACGGCCCAGACUCCUACGGGAGGCAGCAGUAGGGAAUCUUCCGCAAUGGACGGAAGUCUGACGGAGCAACGCCGCGUGAGUGAUGAAGGUUUUCGGAUCGUAAAACUCUGUUGUCAGGGAAGAACAAGUACCGGAGUAACUGCCGGUACCUUGACGGUACCUGACCAGAAAGCCACGGCUAACUACGUG